AAAGCGUUCCACAGGGAUGCUGGCCCGUGUUGACUCUACAAGGUGUUGAAAGCGUUCCACAGGGAUGCUGGCCCAUGUUGACUCUACAAGGUGUUGAAAGCGUUCCACAGGGAUGCUGGCCCAUGUUGACUCUACAAGGUGUUGAAAGCGUUCCACAGGGAUGCUGGUCCAUGUUGACUCUACAAGGUGUUGAAAGCGUUCCACAGGGAUGCUGGCCCAUGUUGACUCUACAAGGUGUGGAAAGCGUUCCACAGAGAUGCUGGCCCAUGUUGACUCUACAAGGUGUUGAAAGCGUUCCACAGGGAUGCUGGCCCAUGUUGACUCUACAAGGUGUUGAAAGCGUUCCACAGGGAUGCUGGUCCAUGUUGACUCUACAAGGUGUUGAAAGCGUUCCACAGGGAUGCUGGCCCAUGUUGACUCUACAAGGUGUUGAAAGCGUUCCACAGGGAUGCUGGCCCAUGUUGACUCUACAAGGUGUUGAAAGCGUUCCACAGGGAUGCUGGCCCAUGUUGACUCUACAAGGUGUCGAAAGCGUUCCACAGGGAUGCUGGCCCAUGUUGACUCUACAAGGUGUUGAAAGCGUUCCACAGGGAUGCUGGCCCAUGUUGACUCUACAAGGUGUCGAAAGCGUUCCACAGGGAUGCUGGCCCAUGUUGACUCUACAAGGUGUUGAAAGCGUUCCACAGGGAUGCUGGCCCAUGUUGACUCUACAAGGUGUUGAAAGCGUUCCACAGGGAUGCUGGCCCAUGUUGACUCUACAAGGUGUUGAAAGCGUUCCACAGGGAUGCUGGCCCAUGUUGACUCUACAAGGUGUUGAAAGCGUUCCACAGGGAUGCUGGCCCGUGUUGAC